UCUUUUAAGGACAUCAAAAAAGAGUAAAAUUGCUGAUCAAGGUCGCUGUUCUCCAAUCAAGAGACAUGGGCGGAAGACAGAUGUAUGCAGUAGGACUGGUUUGGGCUGUAGUCCUGAUCACAUGCGGGCCGGGUCAUGCCAGCGCUCAGGUCUCGGGUACUGAUGGCAGGAAUACAACAGCCACAAAUACCACAAAUGUCAACAUUUCCUCUGGUAAUACAGGGACUGAGAAAGGUGAUUCUCGGGUAUUGGAGUGG